ACUCAAAGGAAUUGACGGGGGCUCGCACAAGCGGUGGAGCGCGUGGCUUAAUUCGUCGCUAAGCGAAGAACCUUACCAAGGCUAGAAAUUAUACUGCAUUCUUAGGGAAACCUAAGGAGCCUUAGAGGGUGUAUAACAGGUGAUGCAUGGCCGUCGUCAGUUCGUGGCUUGAGCUGUUCCCUUAAGUGGGGAAACGAACGCAACCCUCGUUGUGUGUUACAAGUGUCACACGAGACUGCUCCCUCACGGGAGAGGAAGGUGAGGAUGACGCCAGGUCAGCAUGUCCCUUGAUGCCUUGGGCUGCACACACGCUACAAUGGGUGGUACAACAGGACGCAAUACCGUAAGGUGGAGCAAAUCCUUAUAAAACCAUCCUCAGUUCGGAUUGAGGGCUGCAACUCGCCCUCAUGAAGUCGGAAUCGCUAGUAAUCGCGGAUCAGCACGCCGCGGUGAAUACGUUCCCGAGCCUUGUACACACCGCCCGU
rnacentral:rRNA from 1 species